UCGAACGAACUCUGGUAUUGAUUGGUGCUUGCAUCAUGAUUUACAUUUGAGUGAGUGGCGAACUGGUGAGUAACACGUGGGAAACCUGCCCAGAAGCGGGGGAUAACACCUGGAAACAGAUGCUAAUACCGCAUAACAACUUGGACCGCAUGGUCCGAGCUUGAAAGAUGGCUUCGGCUAUCACUUUUGGAUGGUCCCGCGGCGUAUUAGCUAGAUGGUGGGGUAACGGCUCACCAUGGCAAUGAUACGUAGCCGACCUGAGAGGGUAAUCGGCCACAUUGGGACUGAGACACGGCCCAAACUCCUACGGGAGGCAGCAGUAGGGAAUCUUCCACAAUGGACGAAAGUCUGAUGGAGCAACGCCGCGUGAGUGAAGAAGGGUUUCGGCUCGUAAAACUCUGUUGUUAAAGAAGAACAUAUCUGAGAGUAACUGUUCAGGUAUUGACGGUAUUUAACCAGAAAGCCACGGCUAACUACGUGCCAGCAGCCGCGGUAAUACGUAGGUGGCAAGCGUUGUCCGGAUUUAUUGGGCGUAAAGCGAGCGCAGGCGGUUUUUUAAGUCUGAUGUGAAAGCCUUCGGCUCAACCGAAGAAGUGCAUCGGAAACUGGGAAACUUGAGUGCAGAAGAGGACAGUGGAACUCCAUGUGUAGCGGUGAAAUGCGUAGAUAUAUGGAAGAACACCAGUGGCGAAGGCGGCUGUCUGGUCUGUAACUGACGCUGAGGCUCGAAAGUAUGGGUAGCAAACAGGAUUAGAUACCCUGGUAGUCCAUACCGUAAACGAUGAAUGCUAAGUGUUGGAGGGUUUCCGCCCUUCAGUGCUGCAGCUAACGCAUUAAGCAUUCCGCCUGGGGAGUACGGCCGCAAGGCUGAAACUCAAAGGAAUUGACGGGGGCCCGCACAAGC
rnacentral:rRNA from 1 species